rnacentral:rRNA from 1 species
UACGUAGGGUGCAGGCGUUGUCCGGAUUUAUUGGGCGUAAAGAGCUCGUAGGCGGUUUGUCGCGUCGGAUGUGAAAACCCAGGGCUCAACCCUGGGCCUGCAUUCGAUACGGGCAAACUAGAGUAUGGCAGGGGAGACUGGAAUUCCUGGUGUAGCGGUGAAAUGCGCAGAUAUCAGGAGGAACACCGGUGGCGAAGGCGGGUCUCUGGGCCGAUACUGACGCUGAGGAGCGAAAGCAUGGGUAGCGAACAGG